AUGGGCCCAGGGACAUCCGUAGAGAUACAAAGGUGCUCGUUUAUAAAGCCGUUGUCCUCCCAACGUUACGCCUGCGAAACGUGGACUGUCUACAGACGUCACACCAAACUCCUGGAGCGUUUCCAUCAGCGUUGCCUCAGGAAAAUCCUGCAAAUCUCUUGGGAAGACAGGCGGACAAAUGUCAGCGUGCUGGAAGAAGCAAAGACCACCAGCAUUGAAGCGAUGCUCCUACGCCAUCAACUCCACUGGACUGGCCACGUUGUCCAAAUGCCCAAUCACCGUCUCCCAAAGCAGUUACUUUACUCCAAACUCAAAAACGGGAAACGUAAUGUUGGUGGGCAGGAAAAGAGAUUUAAAGAUGGGCUUAAAGCCAACCUUAAAAACUGUGGCAUAGACACUGAGAACUGGGAAGCCCUGGCCCUUGAGCGCUCUAAUUGGAGGUCAGCUGUGACCAGCAGUGCUGCGGAGUUCGAAGAGGCACGAAUGGAGGACUUAAGGGAGAAACGUGCCAAGAGGAAGACCCGUCAAGCCAACCCUGACCGGGACCGCCUUCCACCUGGAAACCGAUGUCCUCACUGCGGGAGAACAUGCAGAUCAAGAAUAGGUCUCUUCAGCCACCUAAGAACCCAUCCUCAAGACUCCAAAACUGGAAGACCAUCAUCCUCGAACUACGAGGUAUCGCCUAAGUAAGAAUGGCAUUGCAGGAAGACGACUAAAUGACCAGCCAGAAAGUGGUAGGUGAGGGGACAGCAAGGCAGCAGCUCACUUCCUUUUUACUUUUCAAAAUAUUCUAUACAGUGUUCCCUCACUUAUUGCGGGGGUUAGGUUCCAGGACCACCCACAAUAAGUGAAAAUCCGUGAAGUAGGGACACUAUAUUUAUGUUAAUAUUUAUACAUUAUUUUAGUAGUUAUACACUAUUUUAAGUCUUUAUCAACCAAUCAUGUGUUGAUAAAUCGCCUCCUUCUCCUCCUGUUGCCACUUGGGCUCCUUUUCUCUCCCUUUAGCUUCUCCUUCCUCCCUUUCUUAGGCUGAAAAUUGUAAUUUUUUAUGAUUUAUAAUAGUCUUUUAGAGUUUAUUGAAAAACCACAAAACAGCAAAUCCGCGAAAAGUGAACCGUGAAGUAGUGAGGGAACACUGUAGUCUUGUUCCAACCAGCCAAGCACAGAUGUGUUUACAAAUAAUCUUUUACUUGAAAUGUAUAUUAUCUUUUUCAUUAAUAAAACAAUUUUGCUAAUUCUAUAUAUGUUCUACUUUUGCAUCAAGUCCCUAGUCUACUGAAUUUCUGUAGUCACCAUAGUAAUUGUAAUACAUUUAAAAUCUGAAACUAUGUGUUCGAAGCACAGGCAGCCCCCAAGUUACGAACACGAUAGGUUCUAUGGGUUUGUUAAGUUGAAUUUGUUUAUAAGUCAAAAUAGGUACAUUUUAAAAGUGUAACUCCAGACAUGGAUAGCAUAGGGACGGGUUAACACCUCCAUGGUGUUUUUUGUUGCUGUCUGUGCCCCCUGUGCAGAAGAUUUCACCUCACUUCCUGUCUCUGUGAUAAUUGGAUUUUGAAAAAAAUGGUGUGUUGUGGAAACAAGGAUUGAUGAUAAAGCUUCAGUGGAGACACAUUUUCCUCAUGAUAACUCUUUCAGGUGUGAAUUUACCUUCCAAGAGGUAGAUUUAUCUCACUCCCUGUUGUCUAACCCCUGUUCUUAACCAUGAGUCAUUUUAAAUAGGAUGUUUGUAACUUGGGGACUGCCUGUAUUUCUUAUAUAUAAAAUGUUAACAAAAUGACUUUUCUUGUUUCCUCUGGCACAGUGCUACUUAAACUGAUUGUUCUGGUACUGGUCCUUGAACCUUUGGCUGCCAGUUUCUAAUGGGUUUCCAAGAAAGUUGAGAAAAAAAAUUAUAGUCAGUGGGCACACAUACAGUACAGGUCACAUACACAUUCUUCCCAAAAGUCUUUAAUAUUUUAUUACCCUUUGUUUAAGAAGGGAGCACCACGAGGCUUCUCUGCCUCAAGAUGCCUUGCACACAGACAUGAAAGUCAGCAUUAGGGACUCUUCUACCAAAGUAAGAUUUCUUUUGUCUAUCUGCUCAUUUAUUUGAGAUGUAUUACCUGUAAUAAUAAAUAAAGUUUUUAAC
rnacentral:lncRNA from 11 species